rnacentral:tRNA from 1 species
AGAAAGGUAAGCUAAAUUAAGCUAUUAGGUUCAUACCCUGCUUAUAGAGGAUAAAGCCUCUCCUCUCUA